AUGUUAGAUUUUUCCGUCUGCUCCCCGUGCUCUGGGCUUUCCCUCCCUCCGACAUGGCCGGCGACCCCCGCACCCGCGCCGCCGGUGACCACUUCCCCUUCCACUCCUCCCCUGCCGCCGUCCUCGUGCCCGGGGGCGGCCUCCGCCUGGGGCCCUCCAGGCUUCUCCUGCACCUGCUCCUCCUCCACUCGCUCUUAUAACCCUGCGCCCCCCGCCGCCAGGCCAUGGCCGCCGUCUUCUACCACCACGUCGUCGGCGACCUCACCGUCGGCAAGCCCGAGAUCGCCGAGCUCAGCGACGCCGACACGCUCGACGACGCGGCGCGGGCCAUCGCCGGCAGCCCGGAGGGCGCCGUGCCCGUCUGGCGCGCGCGGGCCGCCCUCCGGGGCCCGCUUCCUCGGCAUGAUCUCCGCCGUCGACAUCGCCGCCUUCCUCGCCGGCGCCGGCGACCGCGCCAUGCGCGCCGCCGUCGGCGAGGUCGUGCAGCCCAACCAGGACCUGCUCCGGGAGGUCGAUCCCGGCACCAGGUUGAUCGAUGCGCUGGAGUUGAUGAGGAAUGGAGUGAAGCGCUUCCUUGUCCGCAAGAACGGCUCCUGGACAGGCAUCACCAAGCGGUUUUCUAUGCUUUACAACAGGAAAUGGAUGAAGAACUCAGAAUCGGGAUCCCCAAGCUCAGCUGGCAGCAGCAGCAUGCAGUUGUCCCCAUUUAUCAGUUGCGCGGAGAGGUUUUGCUGCCUGUCAAGGGAAGACAUCCUCCGAUUCCUGAUCGGGUGCCUCGGCGCCCUGGCGCCCAUCCCACUGUCUCCAAUCUGUACCCUCGGAGCCAUCAACCCGCACUACUGCCACGUCGAGGCGUCUGCGCCAGCCAUGGAGGCGAUCCAGAAGAUCCCUGGGGACCCGUGCGGCGUGGCCGUGGUCGAGACGAUGCCGGACGGGGUCCGCAAGAUCAUCGGGGACAUCUCUGCCUACAAGCUGUGGAAGUGCGACUACGUCGCGGCAGCGUGGGCGCUGGCGAACCUGUCAGCGGGGCAGUUUGUCAUCGGCGCCGACGAGAACGGGUCGACCCCCAUCUCCGCCUUCCCGCUGCCUUCCAUCAGCUCGUCGCUGUCGGAGGAGGCCGCCGAGCCCGGGCGCUCUCCCAGGCUGCUUAAGAAGUUCAGCAGCAGGAACAUCGGGUUCCUGAACAGCCAGGCGAACCAGGUGCGGAGCAUGUACCGGGGCCGGAGCUCGCCGCUGAUGUGCCGGAGCACGAGCUCGCUCGCGGCCGUCAUGGCGCAGAUGCUGUCCCACCGGGCGACUCACGUGUGGGUGACAGACGCGGAGGCCGAGGAGGACGACGUCCUCGUCGGCGUGGUGGGGUACACGGACAUCUUCGCAGCCGUUACCCGGAGCAGCGCCUGA
rnacentral:rRNA from 1 species